UACGUAGGGGGCUAGCGUUAUCCGGAAUUACUGGGCGUAAAGGGUGCGUAGGUGGUUUCUUAAGUCAGAGGUGAAAGGCUACGGCUCAACCGUAGUAAGUCUUUGAAACUGGGAAACUUGAGUGCAGGAGAGGAGAGUGGAAUUCCUAGUGUGGCGGUGAAAUGCGUAGAUAUUAGGAGGAACACCAGUUGCGAAGGCGGCUCUCUGGACUGUAACUGACACUGAGGCACGAAAGCGUGGGGAGCAAACAGGAUUAGAUACCCGGGUAGUCCCUGAGCGGGCU
rnacentral:rRNA from 1 species